GACAAAUGAGAAGCCAAAGCCUUGACAAACUUUUCUCCUUCUUUUUCUUCCCCUUUUUUCUGUCCCUCUUUCUGUCCUUCUUUCUCUCCUUCUUUCAUCACCCAUCCCGCCCAUUCUUUUACUUCUGAUAAAAUUGAAACAGUGGCAAGGGCAACUCGAGAAAUGCCUUGUAAAGAAUAA
rnacentral:ribozyme from 13 species